rnacentral:tRNA from 1 species
AUAGUAUAUUAUUACUUGUCAGCAGGAAACGCCGACAAAAUACUACAUACGAUUCCGUAGCUCAGCUGGGAGA